CUAUGAAACUGUUUUCUAGGUUAUUUGUACUAGACUUGAAACUCACAAUAAAGCCGUAAUGCAGGUUUUCCAUGCAUAACUACAAUCUGUAUAUGCGGAGCAGAACUUGUGCAGGAUCCACGACGUUACUGCCUGUUCGUCAGUAACUUGAGCGUCAUUCGACUGUGCUACGGAAUACUGUUGUGUAAUGGAACGAGUUCUGUGCAACAAGGAGGAAUGUCCAUUGAAACCUAGUUGUAUUAAAGAACAUUCCUGGCUCCGAAUACGUCAGCAU